UACGGGGGGGGCAAGCGUUGUUCGGAAUUACUGGGCGUAAAGCGCGCGUAGGCGGCUUUUCAAGUCAGACGUGAAAGCCCCAGGCUUAACCUGGGAAUUGCGUUUGAUACUGUUAAGCUAGAGUGUGGAAGGGGCUACUGGAAUUCCGUGUGUAGCGGUGAAAUGCUUAGAUAUGACAUAGAACACCAAUUGCGAAGGCAGCUGGCUGCGCGAAUAUUGACACUGAGGCACGAAAGCGUGGGGAUCAAACAGG
rnacentral:rRNA from 1 species